CAGAGGAAGGUCGUGCACCAGGUGGCCGGGCCAGGACCAGGGCCCCAUCCACCACCCUGAGGAUCACAGGUCCCCGGCUCCGCCCAGUCCAGCCACGCCCCCUGGCUGCGCCACUGGGGACCCUCAGCGCCUCUGCCUUCAGCCAAUAGGAAACCUGGUGGCAGGCGCAUUCGCCGGGGCGUGGGGUCAAGGGUCACACAAGUAGGCCUCGCCGGGUGGCCUGAAGGUGUGAAGCGACGAGGGCCCGGCUGGGGCGCCGGCUGGGCUGCCCGGGGCCGGGGCGAGGGCUCUGAACGGCGGCUGUGUGCUCGCGGAGCCGGCAGGAGGCGGCGGAGGCCGGGGGCGCGCCCGUGGGCCGAUUUCACCUGCCGCCUGUGGCCGUGGAUUCACACUGCUGUCCUCUAAAACCAAGGAUGGGACGGAAGUUUGGGGGAUGGAACUCAACAGAGAUUCCCGGCUUGGCUUUCACAGGAGCCAGGAAGGGAAACGUGAAGCUCUCCCCUUGGCUUUCUCUGCUAUGAUUGGCUGAGGAAGCUCCCUCUGACUUUCAAGAAUCUGAUGACAUCAACCAAACCACAACAACAACAAGGAUGGAGUCUUGAAAGGCAUGUUGUUUGAAACCAUCUGGGCUAGAUUAUUUUUCAGCCCGUUUGGUAAAGGUCAUUUGCUGCUAAGUAGGGGUGUUCUUUUUUGGCCCCAGAGUGAUGACGUUUGUUUCCUCGCUUGAGAUAGCCUGAGACACCCUACAGUGCCUAGAAUGUGGUCUGGGGAAGAAAUUCAACGAAAGCCUUAAGAUGGAGGCUUUAUUCCAAUUAUUUGAAACUGGAUUGUAAAAAUGUUAGAAAUUAUUGAUGAUAUUUUAACAAAUAUUCAUUAGUCAAUGAAUAGUAUGAGGACAAUAAGAAGCAUUUUUUAAAAUAAAGUGGAAUUACCCAGAAGUA